GAUGAACGCUAGCUACAGGCUUAACACAUGCAAGUCGAGGGGCAGCACAGUGUAGCAAUACACGGGUGGCGACCGGCGCACGGGUGCGUAACGCGUAUCCAACCUUCCCGUUACUCUUGGAUAGCCUUCCGAAAGGGAGAUUAAUACAAGAUGGUAUUCAAAUUCCGCAUGUUAUUUGAAUUAAAGAUUUAUCGGUAACGGAUGGGGAUGCGUGACAUUAGAUAGUAGGCGGGGUAACGGCCCACCUAGUCUACGAUGUCUAGGGGUUCUGAGAGGAAGGUCCCCCACACUGGAACUGAGACACGGUCCAGACUCCUACGGGAGGCGGCAGUGAGGAAUAUUGGUCAAUGGUCGGAAGACUGAACCAGCCAAGUAGCGUGAAGGAUGAAGGUUCUAUGGAUUGUAAACUUCUUUUAUACGGGAAUAAAACCUCCCACGUGUGGGAGCUUGUAUGUACCGUAUGAAUAAGCAUCGGCUAACUCCGUGCCAGCAGCCGCAGUAAUAC
rnacentral:rRNA from 1 species